rnacentral:rRNA from 1 species
GAUGAACGCUGGCGGCGUGCCUAAUACAUGCAAGUCGAGCGAACGGACGAGAAGCUUGCUUCUCUGAUGUUAGCGGCGGACGGGUGAGUAACACGUGGAUAACCUACCUAUAAGACUGGGAUAACUUCGGGAAACCGGAGCUAAUACCGGAUAAUAUUUUGAACCGCAUGGUUCAAAAGUGAAAGACGGUCUUGCUGUCACUUAUAGAUGGAUCCGCGCUGCAUUAGCUAGUUGGUAAGGUAACGGCUUACCAAGGCAACGAUGCAUAGCCGACCUGAGAGGGUGAUCGGCCACACUGGAACUGAGACACGGUCCAGACUACUACGGGAGGCAGCAGUAGGGAAUCGUCCGCAAUGGGCGAAAGCCUGACGGAGCAACGCCGCGUGAGUGAUGAAGGUGUUCGGAUCGUAAAACUCUGUUAUUAGGGAAGAACAUAUGUGUAAGUAACUGUGCACAUCUUGACGGUACCUAAUCAGAAAGCCACGGCUAACUACGUG